rnacentral:rRNA from 1 species
UGGGGAAUUUUGGACAAUGGGCGAAAGCCUGAUCCAGCAAUGCCGCGUGUGUGAAGAAGGCCUUCGGGUUGUAAAGCACUUUUGUCCGGAAAGAAAUCCUUGGCUCUAAUACAGUCGGGGGAUGACGGUACCGGAAGAAUAAGCACCGGCUAACUACGUGCCAGCAGCCGCGGUAAUACGUAGGGUGCAAGCGUUAAUCGGAAUUACUGGGCGUAAAGCGUGCGCAGGCGGUUUGCUAAGACCGAUGUGAAAUCCCCGGGCUCAACCUGGGAACUGCAUUGGUGACUGGCAGGCUAGAGUAUGGCAGAGGGGGGUAGAAUUCCACGUGUAGCAGUGAAAUGCGUAGAGAUGUGGAGGAAUACCGAUGGCGAAGGCAGCCCCCUGGGCCGAUACUGACGCUCAUGCACGAAAAGCGUGGGGGAGCAAAACAGGAUUAGAUACCCUGGUAGUCCACGCCCUAAAACGAUGUCAACUAGUUGUUGGGGAUUCAUUUCCUUAGUAACGUAGCUAACGCGUGAAGUUGACCGCCUGGGGAGUACGGUCGCAAGAUUAAAACUUAAAGAAUUGACGGGGUCAUGCUGUUUCCU